rnacentral:rRNA from 1 species
UACAGAGGUCUCAAGCGUUUGUUCGGAUUCAUUGGGCGUAAAGGGUGCGUAGGCGGCCUGUUAAGUCAGGGGUGAAAGACGGUGGCUCAACUAUCGCAGUGCCCUUGAUACUGAUGGGCUUGAAUGUACUAGAGGUAGGCGGAAUGUGACAAGUAGCGGUGAAAAUGCAUAGAUAUGUCACAGAACACCAAUUGCGAAGGCAGCUUACUAUGGUAUGAUUGACGCUGAGGCACGAAAAGCGUGGGGAUCAAACAGG